rnacentral:misc_RNA from 1 species
UAAUUAGUCUUUGGGCAAUCCCCUCCUACUUUGAAAAGCUCUUUCAUGUCAUAAAACUGCCCAUGGAUAUCUCCACAUAUAGUGACAGGGGCAUCGACGCGUUGCACGUUGCUCUCUUCGACAAGGAUUUCCAUGGCUUUGAGGCAAAGAGCCUUCACUUCCGAUUCCUUCAAUGGCUCGCAUUUCUUUAGCUGCUCUAUUUGCCUAUCUAGGUCAGACAUCUCCCUCUCGUUUCCCUCUAAAUCCCUAAAAAUAGCAGGAUUGCUAAUUUUGCAAUCGCUGU